UCUAUUGGAGGUGACACUGCAGACCCUGGACGAGGUGCGGCCAGAGCGAGCAAGGAGGCUGUGCGGCGGCUGUAAGCCCGGGUGUCUGAAAUGCAGGGACCUGGGGGGUCCAGGCCCCUCGAGGCAGCACUGGAGGCCACAGGGGCACCCUGUAUUUGGUGAGGCCGCCCACCAGAUGCCCCUCGGGCAGACGCCCCUCCUCAGAGGUGCUGAUACUCCGCAGGCCCUUUCUGGACCCGUGCAGCUUCUCGCCAGACCGUGGUGUGUGGCCGCACCAGGCCUGCUGACCUCCGAUGCCAGGCACUGUGCCCUCUGCGGCAGCCUGCUGUUGGCCAAGGACUUUGCUCAUGACACUUUCUCACCAACGCUGACCUGGACCACACCGCCUCUACCCCAGCCUGAAGGUGAGCACAGGGGAGAGCUGGCCACCACGGGGGCAGGCGGCCCACACCCUUCCUGCCUGGUGUCCCAAGGACCAGUCACCUGUCCCGCUACAGCCCUGCCUGGCCACGACCUGCCUGCGGAGAGCUGAGGGCCUGGAUCUGCCUCUUGUCCAGGCGAGGAGGGCUGUCCCCAGGAUCGAGCUGACCACUGAGGACGGCGCCUCUGUCACCUGUGCCAUCGAGCUGGCCUCUGGCUCCACGGCAUUUCGGCCGGCCUUCUGGGUGACAACGAGGCUGGCGAUGAGCUGAUGGUGCCAGAUGCACAGUGGCCAGC